GUGCUUGCUUUGGCAGCACAUAUACUAAAAUUGAAAUGAUACAGAAAAUAUUAGCAUGACCCCUGCACAAGAAUGACACGCAAAUUCAUGAAACAUUCCAUAUUUUU
rnacentral:snRNA from 1 species